rnacentral:lncRNA from 1 species
UCUUAAGUGGUAUUAUGUGGGUAAAUAUUACUGAUAUUAGUGUUUUGAAAAUUAUAUAACAUUCCUAAAAUUCUGAUCUGUCCUGGCUAUCAGCCAUAAUUCUAAAUAUUAUUUUAGGGUGUUGUAUAUCAGAAAUAAUAAGUUUCUCUGUCAAUUGUCAUUUUCAAGUCUUUUGUUGUUUACAGUCAGUUGUUUUACUCUGAUGCUUUUUGCUUUUGCAAAUACUUCUCAUCUUCAGAGACAUUCAUGGAAAAGACUCUGACACUUACUCUGGAUUACAGUUUUCUGAUAAACUUUCAGAUCACAGAACUGAACUGGAAAUACUUCUUAAACACCUGAUUGAUUGCUUCCAAAACAUAGGCCUAACUUUGGGAGCCCACCUGCAUCGCCACCUUCUAAAAUGAAUUUAACUGGACUGAUCUAUUACCAGGACUAAGAAAUGUGUUCAGUGAGAUGAAACAACCUACCACUCAGCUUCUGGAUUGUGAAACUUUUAGUUUCAAAGGCGGGACUGUAGGGACCUGAAAUUGGCCACCCCAACAUAUGUCUCUUUGGCAUCAGGAUUAUUUGAGGCUGAUUGCUUUUGAUAAACUGGGACAGGGAAGGAGGCCCUUUGUUAGGACACAUUUACAUCUGUAAGGUAAAUCUCUAUCUGUAAAGGUGCCUCCCUCUCUGUAGGCAAGGAACUGAUUGCUGCGCUCAUCUGUGAUCCCCCAGCCAGAGGCAACACACCUGCCACCCCGCGGCGUUCACUGAGACAGCAGAAAUAUCUGCCUCCAUCAAGCACUGUGCUGACAGAGCAG